rnacentral:rRNA from 1 species
GAUGAACGCUAGCGGGAGGCCUAACACAUGCAAGCCGAGCGGUAUUGUUUCUUCGGAAAUGAGAGAGCGGCGUACGGGUGCGGAACACGUGUGCAACCUGCCUUUAUCUGGGGGAUAGCCUUUCGAAAGGAAGAUUAAUACUCCAUAAUAUAUUGAACGGCAUCGUUUAAUAUUGAAAGCUCCGGCGGAUAGAGAUGGGCACGCGCAAGAUUAGCUAGUUGGUGAGGUAACGGCUCACCAAGGCCAUGAUCUUUAGGGGGCCUGAGAGGGUGAUCCCCCACACUGGUACUGAGACACGGACCAGACUCCUACGGGAGGCAGCAGUGAGGAAUAUUGGUCAAUGGGUGCAAGCCUGAACCAGCCAUCCCGCGUGAAGGACGACUGCCCUAUGGGUUGUAAACUUCUUUUGUAUAGGGAUAAACCUACCCUCGUGAGGGUAGCUGAAGGUACUAUACGAAUAAGCACCGGCUAACUCCGUGCCAGCAGCCGCGGUAAUACGGAGGGUGCAAGCGUUAUCCGGAUUUAUUGGGUUUAAAGGGUCCGUAGGCGGACUUAUAAGUCAGUGGUGAAAGCCUGUCGCUUAACGAUAGAACUGCCAUUGAUACUGUAAGUCUUGAGUAUAUUUGAGGUAGCUGGAAUAAGUAGUGUAGCGGUGAAAUGCAUAGAUAUUACUUAGAACACCAAUUGCGAAGGCAGGUUACCAAGAUAUAACUGACGCUGAGGGACGAAAGCGUGGGGAGCGAACAGGAUUAGAUACCCUGGUAGUCCACGCCGUAAACGAUGCUAACUCGUUUUUGGGCUUUAGGGUUCAGAGACCAAGCGAAAGUGAUAAGUUAGCCACCUGGGGAGUACGCUCGCAAGAGUGAAACUCAAAGGAAUUGGCGGGGGCCCGCACAAGCGGUGGAUUAUGUGGUUUAAUUCGAUGAUACGCGAGGAACCUUACCAAGACUUAAAUGGGAAUUGACAGCUUUAGAAAUAGAGCUUUCUUCGGACAAUUUUCAAGGUGCUGCAUGGUUGUCGUCAGCUCGUGCCGUGAGGUGUUAGGUUAAGUCCUGCAACGAGCGCAACCCCUGUCACUAGUUGCCAUCAUUCAGUUGGGGACUCUAGUGAGACUGCCUACGCAAGUAGAGAGGAAGGUGGGGAUGACGUCAAAUCAUCACGGCCCUUACGUCUUGGGCCACACACGUAAUACAAUGGCCGGUACAGAGGGCAGCUACACAGCGAUGUGAUGCAAAUCUCGAAAGCCGGUCUCAGUUCGGAUUGGAGUCUGCAACUCGACUCUAUGAAGCUGGAAUCGCUAGUAAUCGCGCAUCAGCCAUGGCGCGGUGAAUACGUUCCCGGGCCU